AAAGAAGGAAAAUAUAAUUGAAAAAAUAUAUAAGUUUAGAUUAGACAUAAUUUUCAGUUGUUUUGAUAACUUUUAAUGUAAAAGUAUUUUUAUUCUCAUAGCAAUUUUUGUUUUGUAGACAGUUCCUCUAAAACUACAUUUUAUCCAGAAUUGCAGAACUCUAUUAUAAGUCCGGUCUACUUCUUUAAAAGCCAUUAACAUGUUAGUAUUAGCAUAUUCAAAUUGGCAGUUCUUUAUCUGUUUAUUAUUUUAUUGUAGAGUUUACAAAUACACUUCAUGCAGGAAACAAAGAAACACCUUUGAUUUUGGUUAAUGUAUAUAUGUAAAACCAAAACAGCUAAAUCCCAAAGGGGAAAGUAUCAGGGACUGACAGGCUCUCUAAUGAAAUUCACGCGAAGUUUUCCUUAGAAGAGAAUUUAAAGAUGCAACUAUAGAUAUCAUCUCUUUCUCAAAUACUUGGUCUGUUACUGCAAUGUUCUGUUCGUGUUCUAUCAAUUUCCCGAAAGGGAAUAGCCAUAUAAAUUAUCUUCCUUUUGUUAC
rnacentral:lncRNA from 1 species